rnacentral:rRNA from 1 species
CUUGCGGCGGGCUUAACACAUGCAAGUCGAGGGGUAACAGGUAGCUUGCUAUGCUGACGACCGGCGCACGGGUGCGUAACGCGUAUAGAACCUACCUUAUAGUAAGGGAUAGCCCAGAGAAAUUUGGAUUAAUACCUUAUGGUAUUGAAUUGUGGCAUCACAAUUUAAUUAAAGAUUUAUUGCUAUAAGAUGGCUAUGCGUUCUAUUAGCUAGUUGGUAUGGUAACGGCAUACCAAGGCUACGAUAGAUAGGGGUCCUGAGAGGGAGAUCCCCCACACUGGUACUGAGACACGGACCAGACUCCUACGGGAGGCAGCAGUGAGGAAUAUUGGACAAUGGAGGCAACUCUGAUCCAGCCAUGCCGCGUGUAGGAAGACUGCCCUAUGGGUUGUAAACUACUUUUAUAGAGGAAGAAAUGGCACUACGUGUAGUGUUUUGACGGUACUCUACGAAUAAGGAUCGGCUAACUCCGUGCCAGCAGCCGCGGUAAUACGGAGGAUCCAAGCGUUAUCCGGAAUCAUUGGGUUUAAAGGGUCCGUAGGCGGGUUUGUAAGUCAGUGGUGAAAGUUUUCGGCUCAACCGGAAAAUUGCCAUUGAUACUGCAAGUCUUGAAUCAUUGUGAAGUGGUUAGAAUGUGUAGUGUAGCGGUGAAAUGCAUAGAUAUUACACAGAAUACCGAUUGCGAAGGCAGAUCACUAACAAUGUAUUGACGCUAAGGGACGAAAGCGUGGGUAGCGAACAGGAUUAGAUACCCUGGUAGUCCACGCCGUAAACGAUGGUUACUAGCUGUUUGGACUUCGGUCUAAGUGGCUAAGCGAAAGUGAUAAGUAACCCACCUGGGGAGUACGUUCGCAAGAAUGAAACUCAAAGGAAUUGACGGGGGCCCGCACAAGCGGUGGAGCAUGUGGUUUAAUUCGAUGAUACGCGAGGAACCUUACCAGGGCUUAAAUGUAGAUUGACAGGUUUAGAGAUAGACUUUCCUUCGGGCAAUUUACAAGGUGCUGCAUGGUUGUCGUCAGCUCGUGCCGUGAGGUGUCAGGUUAAGUCCUAUAACGAGCGCAACCCCUGUUGUUAGUUGCCAGUGAGUAAUGUCGGGAACUCUAACAAGACUGCCGGUGCAAACCGCGAGGAAGGUGGGGAUGACGUCAAAUCAUCACGGCCCUUACGUC